rnacentral:antisense_RNA from 1 species
GUUGCCAUGCAGAAUGUCUAUUGAUCAGCUGGGCACAUCUGCACACAUUUACAAUAUCUGCCACCUCUUUUAACCCUCAACCCCGCCCCACAAAAUGAGUGAUGGUGCUUGUUGAUUUGCAGAUUCACGGUCUGGUGAGACAAGUUUGAGAUCUCAUAUUUUCAGCUCACCCUUGAAAACCUUUCUUGGAUUUGACUGACCUUGAUGGCUCCCUGGAAUUUCACCUACAUUUUAUGGGAACUUCAACUCUCCAGAGAGAAGAGCUUUCAGAUAGCUACAGGACUUGCAACUAUGACUUUUAGCUUUCACUUUUGAAUGAGGCUCCAAAUGUCUCAAUGGUGGCGCUAUUUCCAGAUUUGGGUCAUGGAGGAGAGACACUGCCUCAACUCAGUUUCUUCUGAUAUAUCUUUGAAACAGAGCCCUGCAAAGCUAAUCUGCUCAACCUUCACCUACUGGGUUCAAUGAAUAUGAAAAGCUGCCUUCCUGAAACUCUUCCUUCAAAGAGGAAAUGAUCUCCUGGAAUUCAAGCUUCUACAAGGUGGCUACCUGGUGUUUUCCACUUUUGCCUUCUCCUAAAAAGCAUCAAUCAAGCCUUGCCCUUUCAACCCACUGAACACAUAAACAUGCUUUCUCCUUAACUGAACUUAUGGUCAUGAUGAACUUGAACUCUGAGAUGCACAGAGGAGAGUUUGUUUUAACAGCUGCUUUUACAAUGAAGCCCUGGAGUUACUACUCUCAAGACCCCUGGUUCUGAUAGGCCGUCUUUUCACUGUCCUCUGCAUUUUCUAAUGCCCAGCUGUCAAGGAACACCCACUGAAGUUU